rnacentral:tRNA from 1 species
GCCUGGCUGGCUCAGUCGGUUGAGCGUCUGACUUCGGCUCAGGUCAUGAUCUCACGGUCCGUGAGUUCGAGCCCCGCGUCGGGCU